CACGUAGGGUGCGAGCGUUGUCCGGAAUUAUUGGGCGUAAAGAGCUCGUAGGCGGUGUGUCGCGUCGGCCGUGAAAACCUGCAGCUCAACUGUGGGCUUGCGGUCGAUACGGGCAUCACUGGAGUUCGGCAGGGGAGACUGGAAUUCCUGGUGUAGCGGUGAAAUGCGCAGAUAUCAGGAGGAACACCGGUGGCGAAGGCGGGUCUCUGGGCCGAUGACUGACGCUGAGGAGCGAAAGCGUGGGGAGCAAACAGG
rnacentral:rRNA from 1 species